ACACUAUGUGUUGUUGGGUAGGGGAGCGUUCUGUAAGCCUGCGAAGGUGUGCUGUGAGGCAUGCUGGAGGUAUCUGAAGUGCGAAUGCUGACAUAAGUAACGAUAAAGCGGGUGAAAAGCCAGCUCGCCGGAAGACCAAGGGUUCCUGUCCAACGUUAAUCGGGGCAGGGUGAGUCGACCCCUAAGGCGAGGCCGAAAGGCGUAGUCGAUGGGAAACAGGUUAAUAUUCCUGUACUUGGUGUUACUGCGAAGGGGGGACGGUGAAGGCUAUGUUAGCCGGGCGACGGUUGUCCCGGUUUAAGCAUGUAGGCUGGUUAUCCAG
rnacentral:rRNA from 1 species